rnacentral:rRNA from 1 species
UACGAAGGGGGGCUAGCGUUGCUCGGAAUUACUGGGCGUAAAGGGUGCGUAGGCGGGUCUUUUAAGUCAGAGGUGAAAUCCUGGAGCUCAACUCCAGAACUGCCUUUGAUACUGAGGAUCUUGAGUUCGGGAGAGGUGAGUGGAACUGCGAGUGUAGAGGUGAAAUUCGUAGAUAUUCGCAAGAACACCAGUGGCGAAGGCGGCUCACUGGCCCGAUACUGACGCUGAGGCACGAAAGCGUGGGGAGCAACAG